GUUGAACGCUAGCUACAGGCUUAACACAUGCAAGUCGAGCGACCGGCACUCGGGUGCGUAACACGUAUCCCACCUGCCUUUUACUCGGGGAUAGCUUUUCGCAAGAACUAAUAAUACCCGACAUAAAGUAUGGUGAUGCGUUCCAUUAGGUUGUUGGUGAAGUAACGGCCAAGCAAGCCUUCGAUGGAUAGGCGUUCUGAGAGGCAGGUCCACCACAUUGGAACGGAGACACGGACCAAACUCCUACGGGAGGAAGAAGUGAGGAAUAUUGGUCAAUGGGCGUUAGACUGAACCAGCCAAUUAGAGUAAAGGAUGAAGGAUUAGGAGACGUAAAAUGCUUGUAGAUAAGAAUAGGUAUUAGAUGAAGAAGGAUCGGCUAACUCCGUGCCAGCAGCCGCGGUAAUAC
rnacentral:rRNA from 1 species